rnacentral:rRNA from 1 species
UACGUAGGGUGCGAGCGUUUGUCCGGAAUUACUGGGCGUAAAGAGCUCGUAGGUGGUUUGUCGCGUUGUCCGUGAAAAACUCACAACUCAAUUGUGGGCGUGCGGUCGAUACGGGCAUGACUGGAGUUCGGUAGGGGAGACUGGAAUUCCUGGUGUAGCGGUGAAAUGCGCAGAUAUCAGGAGGAACACCGGUGGCGAAGGCGGGUCUCUGGGCCGAUACUGACGCUGAGGAGCGAAAAGCGUGGGGAGCGAACAGG